rnacentral:rRNA from 1 species
GACGAACGCUGGCGGCGUGCCUAAUACAUGCAAGUUGAGCGCUGAAGGUUGGUACUUGUACCAACUGGAUGAGCAGCGAACGGGUGAGUAACGCGUGGGGAAUCUGCCUUUGAGCGGGGGACAACAUUUGGAAACGAAUGCUAAUACCGCAUAAAAACUUUAAAAACAGGUUUAAAGUUUGAAAGAUGCAAUUGCACACUUCAAAGAUGACCCCGCGUUGUAUUAGCUAGUUGGUGAGGUAAAGGCUCACCAAGGCGAUGAUACAUAGCCGACCUGAGAGGGUGAUCGGCCACAUUGGGACUGAGACACGGCCCAAACUCCUACGGGAGGCAGCAGUAGGGAAUCUUCGGCAAUGGACGAAAGUCUGACCGAGCAACGCCGCGUGAGUGAAGAAGGUUUUCGGAUCGUAAAACUCUGUUGGUAGAGAAGAACGUUGGUGAGAGUGGAAAGCUCAUCAAGUGACGGUAACUACCCAGAAAGGGACGGCUAACUACGUG